GACGAACGCUGGCGGCGUGCCUAAUACAUGCAAGUCGAGCGAGACUCUUCGGAGUCUAGCGGCGGACGGGUGAGUAACACGUGGGCAACCUGCCUGUAAGACUGGGAUAACACCGGGAAACCGGUGCUAAUACCGGAUAAUCCUUUUCCUCUCAUGGGGAAAAGCUGAAAGUCGGUUUCGGCUGACACUUACAGAUGGGCCCGCGGCGCAUUAGCUAGUUGGUGAGGUAACGGCUCACCAAGGCGACGAUGCGUAGCCGACCUGAGAGGGUGAUCGGCCACACUGGGACUGAGACACGGCCCAGACUCCUACGGGAGGCAGCAGUAGGGAAUCUUCCACAAUGGACGAAAGUCUGACGGAGCGACACCGCGUGGAGGACGAAGGCCUUCGGGUUGUAAACUCCUUUUCCAGGGGAAGAAUAAGGGUAAGAGGAAAUGCUUAUCCGACGACGGUACUCUGGGAAUAAGCCACGGCUAACUCUGUGCCAGCAGCCGCGGUAAUAC
rnacentral:rRNA from 1 species